rnacentral:rRNA from 1 species
GAUGAACGCUGGCGGCGUGCCUAAUACAUGCAAGUCGAGCGAAUGGAUUAAGAGCUUGCUCUUAUGAAGUUAGCGGCGGACGGGUGAGUAACACGUGGGUAACCUGCCCAUAAGACUGGGAUAACUCCGGGAAACCGGGGCUAAUACCGGAUAACAUUUUGAACCGCAUGGUUCGAAAUUGGAAGGCGGCUUCGGCUGUCACUUAUGGAUGGACCCGGGUCGCAUUAGCUAGUUGGUGAGGUAACGGCUCACCAAGGCAACGAUGCGUAGCCGACCUGAGAGGGUGAUCGGCCACACUGGGACUGAGACACGGCCCAGACUCCUACGGGAGGCAGCAGUAGGGAAUCUUCCGCAAUGGACGAAAGUCUGACGGAGCAACGCCGCGUGAGUGAUGGAGGCUUUCGGGUCGUAAAACUCUGUUGUUAGGGAAGAACAAGUGCUAGUUGAAUAAGCUGGCACCUUGACGGUACCUAACCAGAAAGCCACGGCUAACUACGUGCCAGCAGCCGCAGUAA